rnacentral:rRNA from 1 species
CCUACGGGAGGCAGCAGUGAGGAAUAUUGGUCAAUGGGCGAGAGCCUGAACCAGCCAAGUCGCGUGAAGGAUGACGGCCCUACGGGUUGUAAACUUCUGUUGUCAGGGAGCAAGUGGGUCCACGCGUGGGCUUAGCGAGAGGACCUGAAGAAAAAGCAGCGGCUAACUCCGUGCCAGCAGUCGCGGUACUACGGAGGAUGCGAGCUUUAUCCGGAUUUAUUGGGUUUACGGGGUGCGUAGGCGGAAUAUCAAGUCAGCGGUAAAAAUUCGGGGCUCAACCCCGUCGUGCCGUUUAAACUGCUGUUCUUGAGUGGGCGAGACGUAUGCGGAAUGCGUGGUGUAGCGGU